rnacentral:lncRNA from 1 species
CGCCUCUGACUAUAAAACGCAUUCACAUUAGCUGGUUUAUGGAGACCGGAGAUUAAUAAAUCAAAGAAAGAAAUGAAAGACAAAGGACAAUGACAUACCUCUGAGUGACUGAAAUGGUGUCUUCAAUCAUGUUACCACCAAUUGAAUUUAAUAUAACGAAAGAAUGACUUGAAUUUAUUAUAUGGGAUGACAAGUUCAUUAAGGAAAUAUAAUAUUAUACCACAUGGGUGUUAAUAUAUAUUAUAAACCAUAUUGGUUACUCUCAAGUAGCUGAUAAGCAAAUUAUAUUAGCUAAGACAUGUCUUCUCUUGUAACCAAAACAUUUUAGAGUGAACAGAAGAAAAUUCAAUAUAUAGAAAGAAACACUGGACUUCAUAGAAAUGGGGUUUCAUCUGGGGAAGAGUGUUUAUCUAUAUUAUUUGAGGAUUGUACAAUAUAAUAUAUGAAACCAUGUUAGUUAGCAACCAACCACUGGCUUAAUCAAUUAGCUGGUUUAUCAGAGAGUCCAAUUCCUUUUCUUUUCUUUUUAUAAAUUCCUUUUUUGAUUCCCUACCUUCAAUCUCAUCCUUACACUAUGAUAACUACGAAGCCAAGGAUCGCAAUUUGACGAUAUUUGGUAGAACAAAUAGGUGUAAUAUUGAGAGAAAACUGAGUAGUAAUGGGCCAAUAAAAAAGAAGGGGAAAAGUUCAAAUUCACCUGAACUAUUAGAUUUACUUUGAGCUCCACGAGGCACACUUUUAUUCAUUAAAAUUGCACGUAAACUGACACUUUUCCGGCCAGUGUAAAACAGAGAUAUGAACAGUUCUGGGGUCAAAAGCUACCGCAACCACCGCUUCCAGCCUGCCACCACUACCACCACCGUCAAAAAUUUCUCCUCUUUUCUUGUUUCAGAUCUUAUUGAACAGUUCGCCCAUUGCUCAAAAGCUUUAAUAACUUGAUUGGAUUAACUCACGGGGUUAGGAGAAGAGUCCCACUUAAAACCUAGCUUGUGAAUCAAUUCAAAUAGAUGAGAUGGAGGUGGGGGAUUUGUUCGCCGGUGAGAGGAGCCACUAACGGAGACGGCGGUGGAGACGGGGAAGUUAUUUUCCGGCGGGACCUCCGACCAUGUCAGUAGAUCGGCGGUGGAGGUGUGGGGCAUUCGUACAGGUAUUGCUCUCUCCAUUUGAGUAUGUCCGGCAACUGAAGAGUAUUGAGUUUUUUCUAUUUCUUUUUCUUUUAUUUUCUGUUUUCUACAUGUGACAGGUAAUGUUAUUAAUGAGUCAUUUAACUUUUAUUUUAUUGCAUUAAAUUUUAUAAAGAGAAAACUACUUAAUUUACUACUCCCCUUCCAAUUUAUGUGAACCUGUUUGAUUGGGCAUGGAAUUUAAGAAAAAAUAAAGACUUUUGAAAUUUAUGGUCCUAAACAAGUUUUAAAAAGGCCCAGAAUAUUUGUUUGAUUAUAAAAGUUUCUCGUAGAAUUGUAUGUUUAAGCUAAAUUGUUUCCAAAUUUAGAAAGAGUUCAUUCUUUUUGGAACAGACAAAAAAAAAUAGGUUCACAUAAACUGAAACGGAGAGGGAGUAAGUAUUUUAGAGCCUGUUUGGACAUAAGAAUUUUUUUUCUUUUUUCCAAUUUUUUUUUUAUUUUUUUCCGAAAUAUGUGUUUGUUCAUAAAAUUUUCAAUUUUGACUUGAAGAUGCAUUUUAAAAUUUUUUGAAAUUUUGAAAAACUCCAAAAAGUUGAUUUUCAAAAUUCUUACUCAAAUCACUCACAAAACUUCAAAAACAACUCAUAAUUCUAUUUAUGUCUAAACACAACUCUAAAUUUCAAAUAUCAUUUCACUUUAAAAAAAUCACGAUUUUUUUAAAUUUUACAAUUCUUAUGGGCCAUUCUUAUGUCCAAACGCCCACUUAGUCAUUAAAUAAAUUGUUGCAACAAAAAAAUCACUUAGCUUUGAUUAUAGUACGAAAAAAAUUUCAAAGUAAAUUUAGUAUCGUCUAUUAUAAUUAAUAAUCUGUUUGGUCAAGUUUCUAGGAGGUCAGAACCACUUAUUUUUUUAAAAAAAAAAGUACUUAUUUUAGAGAAUAAGGUGUUUGAUCAAACUUUUGAGGAAAAGGAAUAGUAACAAAAAUUAUUUUUCAGAAGCUAAUAUAAAAGUAUUAGUUUUUUUCCCUAAAUCACUUUUGAAACUUUGCUAACACAAAUUACUGUUCUAAUAUUAGCCAAAAUAGUUUUUAAAUUGAUUUUGUCAAACACAAAUUACGAUUCUUCAAAAGUAUGUUUUCAAAUACAUAAGAAAGGUCGUUUUCCAACACACGGGAAUUUUGAUUAAUUAUAAUUUAUACUUCAAGCAUAAAUACAAUAAGUUUGCAUAAUCCUUACAGCUUGUUUAGAUGAUUAUUACAUAUCGUUUCAUAAUGUAUCGUAUUUUAUUGUAUUGUAUUGUACUGUAUAAUUUGAUGAAUACAAUGUUUGGAUAAAUUGCAUCAUUUGUCACUGUUCUAUGAUAUCAUACAUCAACAAUAUAAAAAAUAAACUUGCAAUAUUAUAAAAAAAAAUCUGAUACAAAGUAAAAUUAUUAUAUAAAAAGGUAAAGUAAAUAAUAAAAUAAAAUUAUUAAAUAAUAAUGAAGGGUGAGAUGAGAGAAAAAGACAAGAUAACGACGCAAACCACACCAAAUCGGUCGUUACAUAAAGUGGCACAUUUCGUCGUUACGUAACGACGGACUUAACGAUACAAUACAAUAAAAUUUAAAUAAUAAUUAAAAUAAAUUAACUUCGUAUUUAAAGUAACAAUACGAUACAACACAAUAGGUAACAACCAUCCAAACAAGCUGUUAGGGAGCUCUUUGAUGAUUAUUUUGGGGGUAUUCCGCACUUACAAACAAACAAAACUUAAUGGCUUAGUUUGCUUUUAAUGCUUUAGUAGAUACUCUGUCAAAAGUAGCUUCUAAAGUUUUGUUAAUUCCAUUUACGAUUUGCCUCCAAUUAGCCAUCUUAAGCCUUACGGUAUUGCGCCAACAUAAAUUAAAAUUAUUUGGGAACAUUAUUUGGAGUCGUUUUUGUUAGGGAAUGUUUUAUCUUUAUGUAAGAUUUUCUAGAGCAAAUUCAAAUUUAAUCGAGCCAAAAUAGGAGUAUCGGAUACCGAAUACCGUAAAAGAGCUUAUAUGACUGUUUGCAACAAAUUUAUGCAAAGAAAAAUAAAACUUGCAAUCACAAAAUAAUAAAGUGAUUUUAUUGAUAAACAAUAUGGGUUACAACUCUAUUUAUCCUUUGAUUCUUCCUUUGAGUUGAUCUCCAUGAUUCGAGGGCUGGAUCAGCGUAUUCUCGAACAUAGGAUGAUACAGACCUCUCUGGAUCAUUUAAUCUCCAUGAAAGUCGGAUAUUCUUCUUGAAGUAUUUGAUUAUCAAAAAGAACAUCUAUUGAUCACGAUAUUAUUUUAUGCCUUGAUCACUUUGUGAAUAUCCCGAGAAUUUAUGGGAUUUUUGAGGCCCUCUUCAAGGAAAUAUGUAUCCUUUUAUAUAGGUGUACGUUAGAGUUUAUGGUAGAGUAACCUCCAAGAAACCAUGAUAGACUCUUAGGAUUUCAAGAGUCCUAUAGUAUCUUGAAUUUAGGAUUGAGCUUGAUCCUUUAAAAUUUCGAUGUCUACAAUUACUAUUAAGCUUGUUGCACUAUAUCCGUCUUGAAACACACGUUCAAAAAUAGAGGAAUUUAGUAGGCUUUUGGACAUAAAAAUUGUAAAAAAAUAAAAAAGUAACUUUUGAUUGAAAAAGAGUAUUUGAAAUUUGAAAUCUUGAAUGUAUAUUUCACUUGAAAAAAUAUUAUAGUUUAUGAAGAAAAAUAAAUUUUUACAUGAAAAAGUAGUAAAAGCCAAUUUACAAAUUUCCAAACUCAUCUUCAAAAAAUCUUUCCAAUGUGUAACAAAAUAUUGUUGAAUUAUUUUUUCCUGAAAAAAAUAAAAGGAAAAAAUUUCCUAUGGACAAACGGGUCAUACCUCGUAGAAGCGAAUAAUAUGAAGGGUGUGACUAGAAUUAGGCGACGAAGAUACGUAAGAGACGCGGUCAAACUUUUUAGUGAGUUGCAUCCAAUUAUUUUCUUGAAGGGGAGACAUUGGCGUAACUGGUAAAAUUACUGUCAUACUGCCAUAAUCAGGAGGUCACGAGUUCGAGCCGUGGAAACAGCCUCUUGCAGAAAUGCAGGGUAAGGUUGCAUAAGAUAGACCAUUGUGGUCUGACCCUUCCCCUGACCCUUCCCCGAACCCUGCGCAUAGCGGGAGCUUAGUGCACCGGUCUGUCCUUUAUCCAAUUAUUUUCCUAUUAAGAUCAACUUUAUUGCCCCAACAUCAAUCCAAAUUUAUAAUUGACCCGUUAAAGUCCCGGGCUUUAUUUUUGUCCUGUACAAAUUAAACUUAGGACUUGGAUGGAAUCCAACAUAUUUAAAAACUCGAUAUGAAUCUCUAUCUCUAUGCAUUUUCCAAAAGUUAGAACCUAUCCGAAUUAAGAGUAAAUUUUAUAGGUAGUGAUUUAGCUUUGUGUUUAUUACCCAAAGAACUCGUCUUUUCUACGGUGAAAAAUUCUCGAGAAAAGUAAAAGCACAUUUUUGCAUCAACGAAUCACAUAGUCAAAAGACAAGAGAGGUUGCUCUGAUGGUAAGCAAUUCUCACUUCCAACCAAGAGGUUGCGAGUUCAAGUAUCCCCAAGAGCAAGGUGGGAAGUUCUUGGAGGGAAGGAUGCCGAGGGUCUAUUGGAAACAGCCUCUCUACCAUAGGGUAGUGGUAAGGUCUGCAUACACACUACCCUCCCCAGACCCCACUAAAUGGGAUUAUACUGGAUUGUUGUUGUUGUUGAAUCACAUAGUCAAAGAUGAAUACUCCAAUGAAACAUUACUGCGAAAACUAAACCAACGGAUCACCAAUAUAAUUGCAUAUUUAUUGUUUAUAAACAUCUGUUACUGAAAUGACUUUACCAGCUAGAUUGAGUAUGAUCGUGUCAACCAUGGAUUUCCUCCUCCUCCUCCUUCUUCCCCUUCACCUUCUUAUUCAUAAUCAUCAUCUGCAGAAAGGUUGGGAGAAACUGAAUGAAGUCACAUAAGUAAAAUAUAGUGGGGUCUUUUAUUUAUAAGACCCAAAACUACAAUUGUCAGAUUAUAAAUCCGUAAAAAUAGUACGGGCUAGCCAGUUUUCGGACCGAUCAUUCAAAAAUAGCCAGCAUUUGCAAAGUCAUUGAAAAAUAGCCAAUAUUUUGCCGCAACACGGAAAGUUCCAGCAUAAUAUACUGGAAAUAGGUGCACCUGUGUAUGAACUUCCAGCAUAUUAUGCUGGAACUCCAACACGCGAAAAGUUCCAGCAUAAUAUACUAGAGAUUGGAGCGCAUGUGUAUGAACUUCCAGCAUAUUAUAUUGGACCGGUAUAUUAUACUGGAACUACAGUAUAUUAUGCUGGAGUAUUUUCCGAAUUUUAAACAGUAUUUUUGUUUAGAUUUAUCUUUACAUGAAAAGUGACAAAAUUUCGAUUACUUUUGAAACUGUAGCUAUUUUUGAAUGACCACUUGUAAAUCUGGCUAUUUUUGAAUUUCUCCGUAUAAAUCCUUAUGCACUAAAGGCCCCAAAUCUUCAAAGGCAAAUAGUCAUCUACAACUACAAUACAUAUUAACCAUAUCUAAUACCAUUUUGAUCUGUAUUGCUUUCUAACUUAGUUAGCAUUUUCUUAUAAAAUUAAUUAAUUUGUUCAUUAUAAAAGAUACAUACAUUAAGUUUCAAUGCCGGUCUUUACCUACUGGUUUUUGUGUACUUUCCAUCUAUUUCGUGUUUGUUUUUAUAUUGCUAUUAUUUUAUUAUGAUUCUUUUGAUAAUACUAAUAUAUUGUCUCUUGUCGCCUUCUUGAGCCGAGGGUCUCCUGGAAACAGCCUCUCUAUCCCUCAGGAUAGAGGUAAGGUCUGCGUACAUACUACCCUCCCCAGACCCCACUAGUGGGAUUACACUGGGUCGUCGUUGUUGUUGUUGUAUACAUUAAGUUUCAGAAGCAAAUAUUGGAAGUUCAUUCUGGAAUAUGAUAUAUUAUACUCACCCGGAUCAUCCUAGAAAAAACAUCAACAGGUUCAUAUCCAAGGUUUUCUUGCUAUUCCUGAAUUUUCUCAGCAAAAAUCACGAGAGAAGAAUCUUAAACUCUAUAGGAAUCUUAAAGUCCUUGGCUAAUAUUCAACUGAAUUAGAUUCAGUUAUGCUUUUCAUUAGUUGUAGGAAAGAAACGUAACGGGUCAAUUAUAAAUUUGAGACCAUCCUCAAGGGGGGUGAUAGGUGAGAUCCAUCAAUUUCAGUUUAAUUAUGUACUUCCAAAAGAUUUUUAACAGUGAAUCAGAAAAUUUAUGCAUAUGUAAAUGUAACAUUACAAUUUUUUACAUAAACUUCGUUAAAUUACGAUGACUCUAUGCAGAAGUUCUCAUAAGAAAUCGUAGAAAGGAAACAAUUAAAGGUCUAUCGGAAACAGUCUCUCUACCCUCACAAGGUAGGCGUAAGGUCUGCGUACACACUACCCUCCCCAGACCCUACUUGUGGGAUUCAACUAAGUUUUUAUUGUUGUUGAAACAACUAAAGUUUUUGGAAGCACAACUGAAGCCUCUAGAGGGAACUCAAGAUAUAGAAGACAUAAAAUUAAGUGUGAACACUUUGACAUAAUACACAAAAGUACAAGUAUCACUUAAGACGCACUAUAUAUGUGAUACAAUGUGUGAAAGUUUGACUACAACACAAGCCUUUGUGUAAGAAUCACAUACUAUAUAUAGAUCCUAAUGCAAGGGAGGCCCUUAAGCUUCAAAAGGCAAACACACAUCACCUCCAACUGCUCAAAAUAAGGACAUUCAAGACAAUUUGAAUUAUUUUACUACUCAAAUUAUCAUCAACAACAACAACAACCUAGUAUAAUCCCACAAGUGAGGUCUGAGGAGGGUUGUGUGUACGACUGUAUGCAGACCUUACCCCUACCCUGAGGUAGAGAGGCUAUUUCCGAUAGACUCUUGGCACAAGAAGAUGAAAAGCGACAAUAGAAUAAUAACAACAUAACCAGGAAGAUAGUGUUAUACUAUUUGUAUUACUGUAAUAAAUAAUAAAACAAUAAACUUUUUGAAAUAGAAAUAGAAAGUUAGUAGCAACAUAAUAUUAUCCUCCCAUGAAUGCACAGUGUAUCCUUAAGGAAAUUAUUCCCCUCAAGUACCCGAGAUGCUGGAAUAUUAUCCUCCCAUGAUAGAACGAUUUUCACUCACGAAUGUAUUGGUACAAAAAACUCUAUGAACUGCGAACCACUUAAUGGCUGUAAAUCACACUGAAAUAGAUUUGUGCAGAAGAAGAAGAAGUGUUGAAAUUCAGAAAAUUCGUAAGGAAAAAUCUGAGGAAUCAAACGAAUUUACAGCCAAUGGAAGUACUGUUUUUGAAAGCUUACAACUCUUCAGAACAGUCACUUAAAAACAGGAGGGAAAUUAAAAUAAAAUUUCGGGAAGAAAAAAUGAAUCGGGUAGCGCACGGAUCCGGUUCGGGUUGAAUAUUUGGCAAAUUUAAUUAAUAUUUUAUUAUUAAAGAAAUUUUUGUCCAAAAAGAUUAAUCAAUCAAUCUUUGACCAAAUCCGAAGUCGAAGCCGAGCGACAACGACGAUGGCGCGAGGCUUGCCUUCUUCUUAACUCUUUAAGAGCUAGAAGAAUAACAAUUAUAUAUAUACCCAUCAAAAGCCUUCUCUUCCUCCAAUAUGGGACAAUAUCCCGUUGUCAGGAGGGAAACUCAAAUAUUUUAUUUUUCCCUCCAUUUCCUAUUCACCCUCUUUUAAGCUAAACCAACCUUAAAAAACCCAACAGAUAGUACCAAAACGAGCUAAGAAUCAGAAAAUAUACCUGGACAAGCAAUAUCAAUAAUACUCUCAUAUUAUUGCCAAAUAAUACUUAGCCUAGUUAAUUAAAUAAAAACUCAAAUUAUCAGUUUUAUUUAAUUAACUGGGCUAAUUAUUAUUUGGCCAAAAUAAAAGAAAAUACUUAUAUUUUUUUAAGGGAAAAUGCAUAAGUACCCCCCUGACCUAUACCCGAAAUCCCAGCUACACACUUUUUCUUUGCGGGAGUUCUAUGACCCCCCUAAACUUAUUUUAAAUGGAAUUAUUUGCACCCUUAAUACUGACGUGGCAGAGUGUAUGUAUUUCACUCUCCCAAAGGAGAGUGAGAAGAAGGAAAAAACGAUUUUUCAGAUUAUUUUUUAUUNNNNNNNNNNNNNNNNNNNNNNNNNNNNNNNNNNNNNNNNNNNNNNNNNNNNNNNNNNNNNNNNNNNNNNNNNNNNNNNNNNNNNNNNNNNNNNNNNNNNNNNNNNNNNNNNNNNNNNNNNNNNNNNNNNNNNNNNNNNNNNNNNNNNNNNNNNNNNNNNNNNNNNNNNNNNNNNNNNNNNNNNNNNNNNNNNNNNNNNNNNNNNNNNNNNNNNNNNNNNNNNNNNNNNNNNNNNNNNNNNNNNNNNNNNNNNNNNNNNNNNNNNNNNNNNNNNNNNNNNNNNNNNNNNNNNNNNNNNNNNNNNNNNNNNNNNNNNNNNNNNNNNNNNNNNNNNNNNNNNNNNNNNNNNNNNNNNNNNNNNNNNNNNNNNNNNNNNNNNNNNNNNNNNNNNNNNNNNNNNNNNNNNNNNNNNNNNNNNNNNNNNNNNNNNNNNNNNNNNNNAAGUGCUAAAAAUACAUGUGGGGCGCGUGUAGCUCACCACUUGCCAAGAGUUUGGUUGUCAGCGUAAAGGGUGCAAAUAAUUACAUUUAAAAUAAGUUUAGGGGGGUAAUAGGAUUCCCGAAAAGAAAAAGUGUGUAGUUGGGAAUUCGGGUAUAGGUCAGGGGGUACUUAUGCAUUUUUCCUUUUUUUAACUAUGACUCGAUAACUUUUUUAUUAACUAAUCUGCAAUAGUUUUAUAAUUUCACAAUCAAAAAGAUCGAAGCAUUCUCCUAUCCAAAUGUUAUGUGUAUUAAUCAAGAAUAAAAAAGUAUUUAAGAGAGAGAGACAGAAGAAGAAGCAAGGUAAGACUAGGAACUGCAAUUGAACGACUAUAACCUUAUGGAGAUGAGAAAUAAGUGUAACCUUUAUAAAUAUAUGCUAAGCAAUUAUGGGAAGCUCAUGCUGGAAUAUAAUGUUAUACUCACCUAGAUCAAUAUAGAAACGAACAUCCACAGGUUUGUUUCCGAGGUCUUCUUGUUCUUGUUGAAUCCGUGCAGCAGAAGCCUUGAGCUCGGGCUUGCAGUCUUUUAACACAACUAGUUGUAGUGAGUAAAUCUCUGCAAACUCAAUUGGUAUCUCUUCCAAAUAUCUGCAAUAUUGAAUCAGGAGGCGCUCCAGGACGGGAAAGCUGUCAUUUGUGGCUUCCCAGUACUUGAUAUUAUGAUGGUGAAUUUGCAAAAGCUUCAACCUAGUAAAUCCCCCAGGACUUGGACACCAUAUUUCCCCUUUACAAGCAUCUUCGUGCAGUUUCAGUCCCUCAAGCUUUGGCAGUUCACCUAUGAUGUUCAAGUCCUCCCACCGUAGAUUAGUCCUCCGCAAUGUUAGCUUCUUGAGCGUUGCUGGAAAAACUUCUGCAGUUGGAAUGGUCAGUGAAAAAUCUUCAUUCCAAGGUCCAUUAAUUUCAAAACUCAGUGUUUCAAGUUGAUGUAGACGGACAAGAUUGUCGAAGAGUCUAGAUUCUUGGCAAAUUUGAUAUUCAUCUUUCACUCCAAAGAUUCUUAAUUUCUUUAACAUUCCGAAUCCCUGAAAUAACCUCCUCUGUCCAACUAGAUGGACUCAAGCCGGAAAUAGUUUGUAUGUUUGAAAAACCCAAGUACCUCCCUUCAUCAACAGAUACACUUGGCGGAUUUGGCAAAUCAAGUGAUUCCAGUUCGAGAUGCCUUAAUUCCGUUAGUUUCCAAAUUUGCUCUGGCAAAGAUGUGAAGAAUGAAGCAAUGAAUGUUUGCAGAUUCCAUAACCUACAAAAUUCUGGAGGUAUGUCAAAAUACCCGGACAAUGCUAGGUAGCUCAACCAAAUGAGGCAUAGUAUCUGUGCAGGGAAGAUUGGAAGCUCUAUGGGACUCAAGUCCAAGACUCUGAGUAAACUGAAAUGAAAAAGCUUUGAUUCGAGAGUAAAAUAUAGAGAAAAUGAACUGUGAAAAAAGAAAAUAGAACGAAUUUGUUUCAAGAGAUUAAUGUUGCCAGUAUCAUCUGUCUGCCUCCUUAUCAAAUGAUGAUGUCCUGGUGUAAGAAGGACCUUGUAAUAACCAUAGACACUUUCAUCAUCUUCAAUCCGUCGCUUAAACGGCCCCAUUAUAUGCUUCAUCGGCCGGAAUCUUUCAUUAGACAACACGUCAUCAUCUUCACCUCCAUCCAAACCAUUACCUUCAUCCAAAUAAUCACCUUCAUUCAAAUCAUCUUCCGAUUCAGCAUAAUCAUAUUCAUCUUUAUCCAAAUAAUCAUAAUCAUCCCAAUUGUCAUCUACAUCCAAAUUAUAAUCUCCAUUGCGAUCAACAUAUACAAUGUCAUUCAUGACAAAAACAUUUUGGCUUUCAGCUAAUUCUCUCAAACAAAGCUCAUAUAUUAGAUCAUGAACCUUACAUGAUUUAAUUUUUGAUUCAUCUAAACUUUUAUCGCUGACUAGAACUAGACAUCUGUCAAUAAGAUCGUGCAAACACUUCUCAGCCUCUCCUUCUAAGUCUUUUUCCAACUUCAGAAAGCCCUCAGCGGUCCAUAAGCUCAUCAAUCUCUUCACUGAAAUCUCACUGUCUUCCGGGAAAAUUCCAAAAUAAAGAAGGCAUGCUUUUAGGUCACUAGUCAAGUGAUUGUAACUCAACCCAAGCACAUGUAAACAUAGUUCAUCUGGAUCAUUUUUGACAAAUGACUUGACAUCUUUUGCAACAUUCUCCCAAUCUUCUAUUGUCCUUUCAGGUUUGGACAGAAUCCCAGCAACCACGACAAUAGUUAGUGGUAACCCUUGACAUUUGUCCACAAUUUGCUUCCCAAUAGCCUCAAAUUCAGAUGUUAAUGCUUCGUUCGCAGACGCUGCACUUUUAAAAAGGUUCCAACUCUCAUCUGGAUGCAUGAAAUCCAUCUGCAAAGAGAGAUUCUCUGUACCAGCAUAACAAGCUACUUCAGUGUCACGGGUAGUUAACAGUAUUCGACUCCCAUUGUUUUCACUUGGAAAGCAUAGUCUCACGUCAUCCCAUGCUUUACUCAUCCAAAUGUCAUCCAAUACAAUUAAAUAUCUCUUACCCUUUAAACUCUUUCGCAGCAUGUCUGCUAGCUCUGGCUCAUCUUCCUUGUAAUCUUUGUCAUUCAUUCCUUUUCUUGAACUCAGAAGGCUUAGCAAGAUUUCCUUAACGUUGUGUUGGCUAGAUACAGUAGCCCAGGAACGAACAUCAAAAUGAGACCGAAUGGUGACAUCAUCGAAGACUUCUUUUGCUAAAAUUGUUUUACCAAUACCCCCCAUCCCGACGAUCGGGAUGACCUUGGGUUCACCAGAGAAGCCUCUAGUCAGAUCUUCUAGCAACCGUUUCCUUUCAUCAUCACGUCCCACCAUAUUGCUCUUCACAUUCACUAAACUUGAAUCUUGAACCAGUGAUGAUUUGUUUGAUGCUUGUUUGCCUUUGUCUUUAAUCUUUGUUGACUCUUUUUGUACACGAUCAAUCUCCUGUGCUACUUGCUGCAGGCUAUCACAAAGCCUCUCAUGUGCCUUUUCUUUCUGCAUUUCAUCAUUUGCCUCUAAAGAUUCAGUUAGUCUUAGUUGAAUUGUAAGUUCAACAAAUUCUGCAACUUCUUUUAUAUGUGCUUCAAAAUCUGUCAUUUUCCCAGAAACAUUGCUUUUCUAAAAUUUCUUGGUACAUACUUCCAGAGAACUAACUUUUUCAUAAAGAGCGAGAAAUUCUUCUCUGUGGUCACAAAUUAGAGAUUGCAUUGGCGAAUUGGAUGUCAAGAGAAGUUGUAUUGUUCUUGUAAGAGAAACAACACUAGCAUAAGCCAUAUCUACUGUUUUCCAAUUAUGACCUGAAAGCUGCAAGUUGCAAGUUGCAAGAGGUCAAUGGCAUUAAAGAUAACAUAAUUUGCAAAAUUGCAAACAGGGGGGCACGAACUAAAUAAGAUCAGGUAAUUUACUAGGCUUAGCCAUCACAAGUUUAAUCAAAUGAAGAGUAAAUGGAAACUAACCUUUCAAUGGCAGAUUGGCAAGUUGGAAGUAGCAAUACCACUGCAAAUUAAAAAGACAAAAGAUAAUUAAGGAACAGACAUAUUACUUAUGAGUAUCAACAAACAAACAGGUAAAGCACAAAAGAUAGAGUACAUAACCAAGAUAAAAUCAAAGAGAAAAAUGGCAUAUAUACCCCUGAGUGGCUGAAAUGGUAUGAUCUGUAAUCUAUAGUUACCAAGUAAGUUUAUUAAAAAUGGGAUGAGAACUUCGAUUAAGGUUUGCAUAUGGGGAAGUGGCGUUAUUUGUUUUAUCCGAGGAAUGCAUCAUAUCACAUGUUCGGCAAUUAAUUAUGGUACCAAAUUUACUGCUAGACGACCAUGCAUCUGACAUCACACUAGGACCUAGGUAUCUAACCACAAAUUCUGCAUUAACAUUAGCUGUAAGUUUUGAUGGGGAGUAUUAAUUAGUUGAGAAAAUCUAUAUACCUAUCUAUAUAGUACAACAACAACAACAUAUCCAGUAUUAUCCCACACCGUGGGGUCUGGGGAGGGUAGUGUGUACGCAGAUCUUACCCCUAACUUGUGAGGAUAGAGAGGCUGUAUCCAAUAGACUCUCGGCUCAGGAUACCUAUCGAUAUAGUAUCUAUAUAAAAGAAGGUAUGAAAAGGAUGACUUGGCACCUCUCUUAAACCAAGAAUUACAUUUAUCUUUUGUCUCAAAUUUUUCAAUUUUUCCCUACUUUUUCUGCAUAUUCCCAUUUAUUAUGUGAUAUUUAAAACAACCCAAAAGUCACGUCCAAGUCUCUUAAUUACACCUCUAUCGGAAAGUCACAUCCCACAAUCUCCUCUAGCUUUCCGUUGCUGCAUGUCGUUUGCAAUGGGUAAUUUAUUUAAUUGAAUUUAUCAAAUCAUUAUUGCUGACUGCCGUUUGCUUUCUAAUAAACCCAAAUAGCAGCAAUUUAUUUUUAGUAAUCACCACAAUAAUAUUGCGAUAAUCACUGUAUUAAUAUUGCAAAACUCCUCAACUACUCAAAAUAUUGAAUAAUUAAGGGCAUAAACUGACUCAACAACCAACAUGGAUGUGAAACAGAACACUUGAUCUAAAAAUUUCUAAAAACAAAUACAGGUUCACAUGCUUGAGAAGGCAAUCAAAUUGUAAUCAUCGAGAAGCAAUUGCACUUCGCCUGCUAGCAAAACCGCAUGUUAAAGUUGGUUAUUCGGAGGAAGCAACAUUUUACUACA